AACGAAAGACUGAGUGGAUCGGGUGCAUAAUUUCCGCGGGCCCCACAACAGCCCCGUACAACCACAAGUUGUGGCAGUACCAGUACCGUUACUACCGUACGACUGCACCUCCCCUCCCUCUUCUUCAACCCCUGCGGGUUUAGGGUUUUAGGAUCCGAAAACGAAAAUUCCGUUCGUCUGAAAAAGCAUGUCAGCUUCGAUCCUUCAAACCCCGAAAAUCCCACAAAAAUCCAAUCCUCUCUUCUCAAAACUCAGUCCUAUCCGCUCUCAUUUCCUUCCCAAACACCAUCUCUCUCCCAAAUCUCCUCUCCUCUCUCUCAAUCUCCCCUUCCUCCCAACCCGAUUCCCCAUCUCAACUCGCCUCCGAGUCACCCCGGACGAACUCGUCCCCGACUCGCCACUCAACUCUGCUGAAGAAGAAGAAGAAGAUGCUCGAGAAGCCGUUUCACAGAUCCUGCAAGAAGAAGGAGUAUCGAAGGAAGAAGCGGCCCUGAUCGCUUCGAAUUCGCCGAAUUACGUGAGGAUGCUGAUUGACGGCGUCCAUGAAUUGGAUGAGGCAUCAUUGUGGGAUUCGUGGAAGGGCGGACGAGUUGGAGAAGAAGAUGACGAUGAACGGAGGAGUGGGAGUCUUUCUUUCAAGGAGAAGGUGUAUUACAUGGGGAAGGAGAAAGGGGAUAGGGGGAUUCUUCCAUUCCUCGAGAGCGUCGGUCUGAGCACGUCGGGUUCAUCGCAUGUUGCUCGUUAUCUGUCCUCGGAGAGGCUUCCUGAUCUCAUUAACAAGGUUAAAUAUGUGAAGGAAAUGUUCUUUUCUGGCAGUGAUCAGGAGGCACCAAUCAGCAAGAAUGCCCGCCGCAUGAUGAUGUAUUUAUCGAUUUUUACUGAUGAUGAUAUCCAACACACCUUAUCAUUCUUUGCAAAGAUGGAAGCGAGGCGUGGAGGUUUGGACAUGUUGGAUUCUGCAGAUGCUUCAUUCCCAUACCUCGUUGAAUCUUUUCCACGUUUGCUUUUGCUGUCAGUGGAAUCCCAUUUCAAACCUUUAGUGGAAUUUCUUGAAGCUGCUGGAGUCCCAAAAGGGCGCAUUAGAUCUAUAUUCCUAUCAUUUCCUCCCAUUGUUUUUUACAAUAUUGAGAAAGAUAUAAAACCAAAAAUACAGGCUCUUGAAAAGGUUGGUGUAGAAGACAAAGAUAUUGGUAGGGUGGUGGUAAAAUAUCCAUGGGUUCUUUCAACAAGCAUUCAAGAGAACUAUGAGAAAGUCUUUUCUUUUUUCAAUGCUGAAAAGGUACCAAAAAUGAGCAUUGAUCGUGCAAUCAGAAGUUGGCCUCAUUUAUUGGGAUGUUCAACUAGCAAGAUGAAAACAAUGGUAGAUCAGUUCGCUGAACUAGGUGUUAAAAACAAGAAGCUAGGCCAGGUUAUCGCUGCAAGUCCUCAGCUACUACUGCAGAAACCAAAUGAAUUUCUCGAGGUGGUUUCAUAUAUUGAGGAAUUGGGUUUUGACAAAGAAAGUAUUGGGAGGAUUCUGAGCCGAUGCCCAGAAAUAUUUGCCAGCAGUGUUGAAAACACUCUUAAGAAGAAGCUCAAUCUCCUCAUUGAGUUUGGCAUCUACAGAAACAACCUUCCUCGUGUUAUCAGAAAAUAUCCCGAGCUUCUCGUUUCUGACGUCAAUAACACAUUACUUCCACGGAGGUUCGUUAAAGCACGUCCAUCUCCUCUCACAGCCACAUUUGCCAACCUAUUAUGUGUUUGUGGGACAUCCGGGCUGUGCUUCAGGUGGGCGAUACAUAUGAAAACAAUGAUGGUUUGAGAAAGGUUAAAGGUCCACGUUCAAUGUACAAGCAUGUUAGUGGUCCAGCUGUUGAGUGGACCAGGCUGUUAGUCAGGAUAUCUACAUGGUGGAGCCCACCUAAUGCAUCGCUCUGCAUGACCGAAGUUGGUAGGCCUGGCCUGCUUGUGGAGGUGUGCGGGUUUAGCAAAAUAUUCACUGCCGAUCAGAGAUACAAAAAACAGUCUUACAUGGAUGGUGAGGAUUUCUGAUCAAUCGGAACUUCUCCAGUCCAUCACAGUGACACCUACUUGAUGAACAUUUUGGACCAUGGUUCUACAACCUGAAAGCUCAACUAGACUUGAUUUGAUAAUCGAUGAUGCUCAACAUAGUUGCUGAUAGCUAAAUUAUUUAAAAUGAGGAAUAUCUGCGUCCACGUUUCAAUGCUUGCUAAGCUACCAUCCACUGAGCUCUCACAGUGCAUGUGUCUAUGACAUCCAAGUUGCUGAAAAGGAUGAAGUAUUUGAUGAAGAUUGGGCUGUCAAAGAGGGAGGUGGCCAGCAUGGUCAACAGGUUCUCUCCGUUGCUAGGCUACAGCAUUGAGGAAGUGUUGAAACCCAAGCUCGAUUUCCUGGUAUGCACCAUGAACAA